AUGAAGGUGCAGUGCGACGUGUGCGAGGCCGAGGCGGCCUCCGUCUUCUGCUGCGCCGACGAGGCCGCGCUGUGCGACGCCUGCGACCGCCGCGUCCACCGCGCCAACAAGCUCGCCGGCAAGCACCGCCGCCUGUCCCUCCUCCACCCAUCGCCGGCCUCCUCCUCGUCGCCUUCGCCGAAGCCGCCUCUCUGCGACAUCUGCCAGGAGAAGAGGGGGCUCCUGUUCUGCAAGGAGGACAGGGCGAUCCUGUGCCGGGAGUGCGACGUCCAGGUGCACACGGCCAGCGAGCUGACGAGGCGGCACGGCCGGUUCCUGCUCACCGGCGUGCGCGUCUCGUCGGCGCCGGCGGAGUCCCCCGCGCCGUCGGGUCAGGAGGAGGAGGGGAACAGCACCAGCCCCUGCAUCGCCGACUCCUGCAGCGGCGACGCCAGUGGCACGGCGAGCGCCAGCGCGAGCGCGAGCGACGGCAGCAGCAUCUCCGAGUACCUGACGAAGACGCUGCCCGGGUGGCACGUCGAGGACUUCCUCCUGGACGACGCCGCCGUCGCCGUCUCCUCGAACAAGCCGUAUCAGCAGGGAGGAGGGCUGGCUAGGAUCGGUGGGCCGCAAGAAGGUGAAGGUUACCCGGCGUGGGCUGGCCAAGAGCAGCUGAUCGGUGGCGUCGUUGUCGCUGCGGGUGAGCGGGCCAGCCGCGAGCUGUGGGUACCGCAGAUGCACGCGGGGGCGGCGUGGGCCGGCAGCAAGCGACCUCGGCCGUCGUCUCUCGGCUCCUCCUUCUACUGGUGA
rnacentral:rRNA from 1 species